UUCCCCAGCUCUAGGUAGAGAUGCUAUUGCGGAAUAAAGCAAGAUUCUAGUCUUCAUCGUUCUGAACAGAGGGCUCAAUUAAAUAGGAAUCCACCUUUGAGCAAGUCAGACCGUUGAUCUAUCUAACUCAGUAUUGUCUACUCUGACUGGCAGCAUCUCUUCAGGGUUAAAGAUAAGGGUAUUUCCCAGUUUUACUUGGAGAUGCUGCCAUACCCUUCCACCCAAAAUAUAGCAAGAGCCUAGUCCUCACAGUUCUGUUCUGUUAAAAGGCUGCAAAAAAGGUGACUUUCAAAGAGUGACAAUGAUCUGAAACAGUGAACUCAGCACAACUGAAUGACAGCCAUGAACCAACAGAACAGCAGGGCUAAAGCAGAAGAAUGUGGCAAGCUUAGGUUAAGUUCUCAUCUAGAACAUUUAGAUAAUUUCUCCAUACUGGCUGAUGUGACUGAAGCAGAAGGGAAAUCGCUGUACUGUUGUUAAUAAAAAAAAUAA